rnacentral:rRNA from 1 species
AGAGCUAUAAUCAAAUAAGUAAUAUACAUUAUUUUACUUUUAAAUCCACCUUAAAAUUAUUAUUUCAAAUAAUUUAACGUAUAAAUAAUUUUAUUGUAACCCAUCUCUACUAAAAUAUAAACUGCACCUUGACCUGACAUCAAUUAUAAUAAUAAAUUAAGAAAAUUAUUUCUCUUUUAAGAUAUUCUGAUAACGGCGAUAUACAAAUUGAAAACAAAUUUUAGUAAGGUCCAACGUGGAUUAUCGAUUAUAGGACAGGUUCCUCUAAAUAGACUAAAACACCGCCAAAUUCUUUAAGUUUGAAGAUCAUAUCUAUUACUACUCUAGUAUAUAAAUUUACAUUUUAAAUAAUAGGGUAUCUAAUCCUAGUUUAUUAUUAAAAUUUUCUAGCUUCAUUAACUUAAAAUAUAAAACUAAUUAAAUUUAAAAUUUCACUUAAAAAAAUUUAAAUUAAUUUUAUUGAAAAAUUACAAACUAACUAUUACUAACUAAUCUUAUUUGCAUUAUUUG